ensembl:lncRNA
GUUUGAUUAAUUUUUAAAUGAAUUUGUGAUAUUUAUUAAUUUAGCAGCUCAGCUACGUCUUUAUACACUGAAAAACAAGAAUGCGACAAAAUUCCAGGUUUCACUUCACAUUUACACACAACCAACAUAAUAUAUUAGACAUUAGUGAUUUUACACUAGUGACAGUACCCAGGUAGCAAACAGACGUUGGCCCAACGUUGGGCCAACCAUAUUAUUGGACAGCCAGCAGACCUUCUGCCAACCUAAAAAUACCUUACCAACCUUCUGCCAACUUAAAAACCACUAAAACAACAUUGGGCCAACCAUGUCAUUGGACAGCCAGCAGACCUAACAAAUGUAAAAAUAUAGCCUAUUUUAACCAUCUGCCAACUUCAUAAAUAGUAAAUCUGCAAACUUAUAAAUAAAUAGGCUUUACCUACCUUACACUUAAAUUUUAAGAUUGUGACAUGGCCUAUUCAUUGUUGAAUUGCAUUAAGAGAUGGCACAACAGACAAACUGAAUUGGUUAUAAAAAUGAAUUUAUUGGUAACAAAAUUAACUUAUUGCAGUUUAAUGAGAAAAUGUGCAGAUUCUCUUCCGUAUUCUGCAGAGUUUUUUGAAGCAAAUUAGAGAUUGUGUGUGGCUCUGAUGAUGAAGACGGAGCGGAGGAGGAGAAGUAGCAGCAUACUCCUGUAAAAAAAACAACAUACAAACAACUUUUUAGAACAUUUAAGAUGUGUUGUUCUAUUUUAACUAUACACAACCCAAAACAGAAAAAAAAAUGCAGUGUAUGCCUAGUAAAGAUGAAAUACACCUCUGUUUAGUGGUGGGGUUAGACAGAGGAAGAAAAAACAAUCAUUGGAAGACACUUACAUUCACUUUCACAGCUGCUGGAAUCUGCUUGAGGCUUCUGUUUCUGUGUUAAAGAAAAAAUAUAGUAAUUAUCAAAAUGUAAAUUACUUAAAACUUAUAUAUUAAUAUAUAUAAUAAUUUCUAACAUAUUUGAUCAGGCAUAAAAGGGCUUGUGUACCUUUUUCUGUUGCUCUUUUUUUUCUUCCUCCAUUUCGGUCUCCACUAUACUUCAGCCAGGUUUUUAUUUUUUCCUCGGCUUCCACCACUUUUGCUCCUUGUUUUUUGGCUGCAUCUAUAACAACUUUUGCUAACAAGAGUGUAGAAAAUGGGCUCUUCUGUCCUCUCCCUUGCCAAUUAAAAUUGUUGGCCAACUCAUUGGUUAUUAUUUCCCUCAUGAUUCUGUGGACAAUGUCUUUGGCAGAUGUUCCACCCAAGCUGGUAAGAUAUCUUGUCUAUGAAAAAAAAAUCAUGUGUUAAGCAGCAGUAAAUCUAGAUCUCUCUCUACGUAUGUUAGUAUUCUUUUAAGUGAAGUAACAGAACAUCAUUAGAAUUUACUAAAGAACGUUGUGUGUCUCUGUUUGACAGCCUAUCCUCCAGAUCUUUUAUGCCUGUCAUGCUCCUUAAUGUAAACUGAAACUCCUCAUUUACAACUUCAGCUGCAUUCUCUCUUUGCAUAAUGGCCUGAAGGAGGAGCGUAUUCUGCCUGACUUGACUCUUUAUCUCUUCCAGCAUCUGGUAGAGCCGGAGUUCUCUUUCUGAAUCAGACAAACAUACGAUGCAACAUUAUAACUACACAGAAUUGAACAUAUAAAGAGAGAGUCUGCAUCUCUUCUUUAGUUGUCUUUAUCAUAACAUAACUUUUUCAGCCUUUUGUUUAAUCUAUCCCAGCUUUUUUUUUUUUUUUUGACGUAUUGCUGGCAUUAAAUUCAAAAUGUGCUUACAAUUCCCAUAAAAUAGUAAGAUUUGACAUUUUCAACAUUUGAUAUGAUGUCUAUGUGUUUUUUUUUUUUCAGCUAAAUAUGAUUUUACAAGAUUUGGA